CUGAGUUGAGGUCGGACACUUUACCAACUGAGCCACCCAGGCACCCCUGUCAUGGGACUUUUAAAAGCAGUGAGUUUUCUCUAGCUAGGAGCAGAAGGAGAAAUCGGAGACUUUCAAAGUGUGAGAAGGACUUAGUGUAAUGUUGCUAAAUUGUAGAUAGUAGGAACCAAACAAGAAGGAAUGUCAGGGGGUCAGGGCGGAGGCCUCUGGGAGCAAAGAACAGCCUUGCCUAACAGUCUGAAAGGAAACCAAGGCACCAGACCUAUAGCCACAAGCACCUGGAUUCUGGAAACAACCGGAAUGAUGUUGGAAAAAGAUUCUUUCUCAACAGUCUGCAGUACGCUGGCUGAGUACUACUGAUACGAGGAUGAGAAGAAAUAUCAAUAUCCUCAAAGGAUCCAAGAAUUGGCAGGAAAAUACUGCUGAAAUAUAACUGUUUUCUGGACAUGCUAGGAGCUCUCCAAAGGAGAAAAGGCAUGUGAAGGAGGAAGCAUGGAGUAGGGAGCUUCUCAGAGGAAGAAACUCAAAACGAGAAAGGACAGCACUUGAAAGCUCAUCCGGAGAAACACGGAGUCAACGGGUGGUGCUGUGGGCGGAACUGAAGCAUCCGCACCGUAAGCCCUUUGUUUCUCCUCUGAGCUGCGCCACCUCUGCUGUUGCCACAACACAGAACCAGCAGUCUGUCCAGCGUCCAACCGUCUGCCUGGUUCCAGGGAGAGCAGUGAACACCUUUCUCAUGUACCAAUUAAUCUCUCACCUCUAAGACUGCCGAACAGAGAGCCCCCUGGCUCUUCAGUUGGCAUCUGUGGUAUGGGGAGAACCUUCAUAACUGUGUGACAUUGGACAAAAGGGGAACCUCUGGCUUCCCAUGGGCACCUGGGUGUGCACCAUCUGCUAGCUGAGGAUAAUUGGGUUUCCUGUGUCUUUUGAGUGAGGAUUGACCUUCUCUGCUCUCAAAAUGUCUAAUUGUCCAUCGGGGAGAGUCUAGGCUCCAGCAGCAAGCAAUAGAUGUUGAACUGUCCUCGGUAUGACAGGAGGGCAGGAAAAGGCUGCUCUGCCCACUCAGAGGUGGCACCACCGGGACUCGGGAAAAAAAAAUAAUCUAGGAGGAAAAAAGCAAGUUUACUCACACUUCUCUACCUGGGGGCUACUGUUUGUAGGAAACAAAUUGCUAUAAUAAUAGCUACACUUCUGCCACCUUCCUAGGUUCACCUUGGAGACAGAUUUAAGCUCCUGAGAUGGAGGUUUUUUGCUGUUAAAGUGAAAGCUUGAGUGCCUGCAACUGUCCCUUAAUGGCUUUUGGAGAUAGAGGCCUUCUGCAUCUCCUGCGUCGGAAAGCUCUGAAUCACAGGAGCACCUCAGCUGAGCUGUAUCUAGACUUGUAUUUAAAUAGCGGCUUCACUGCACAGCACAAGCUCUAAUUCUCUGUUCAUAGCAUGAAGCAAAGGGAAAUGGCAGCCAUUGGACAUGAUAAAUCGACGUUCUAGGCUUAUACCCAUUUGGUAAUCUGUUCUGAGACAUUUUAUCUUAAUAUCCUCUAAGGUAGUUUUGGUAGAUUGUGGUGAUCAGGAGGACAUUUAGAGUCUCUCUCUGUGUUUUCACACACACACUGCCAGGGAGAAAUACCUUCCCAGAAAGAAGAUUGGUUUUUGAUCUACAAUACACAAAUAUAAUAAAAGAAGUUGACAGA